rnacentral:hammerhead_ribozyme from 1 species
AUCCAGUUGACCAGUCCCAAAUAAGACGAAAUGCGUGUACUGGAU